UUUUCUCCUUUUUCAUGAUUAGUCUUGCCAGAAGUUUACCAGCUUUGGUUUUGUUAAUAUUUUUAUUCUAUUGUAUGCCUAUCUGAUUUAGUUUUUAUUGUGGUAGAAUAUACGUAACAUAAAAUUUACCAUUUUUAUGUGUACAAUUUAGUAGCAUUAAAUACAUUCAUGUUAUGCAACCAUCACCAGUAUCUAUUUCAAUAACUUAGAAAUAAACAAUUUUAUAAGGAGAUCCAAGAAAGUGACUUUACCUCCUCAAGACAACUUCUCUCCUGAAAAUAGGAUGGAUGGAGAUUUCAGAAUAGAUAUUUACAAGCUCAUUAGAAGUUCUCAAUAUCAUGCCCAUUUUUAAAGCUCUGACCUAUUUCACAGUAAGAUGGCCUUAACUAGUAAUUAAUAAAUGUCAUUUACAAGAAGAAUGUAUAACUGCAUUAAAUCCUCAUCCAAAUACAUGUCAACAGCCCAUCAAGCAGCAUCAUAUAGAUGAAAUUGCUGGUUUCAUCCCAAGGCUCAUUGAAUUAUAAUGCUGUUUAUAAAGAUUAACUCACCAAUGAAUGGCAUCUCAAUUUAUAGCAACUGGUUUAGUCUCUGAAAUGUGUCCACCUCGUCAACAGUCACACUCACUUAUCCAUUUUCCCUCCUAUUAUUAUUAAUUAGAAAUGAUACAAUCAGUCCUUACCAGUACAGAAAGCUGUCGACAUUCUCUCCAUCUUAGAAAACAUGAGGGAUCCAGUCUGUGAUGAGCAGGUCAUUAAGUGCUGUGAUGCAUGGGUCUCCAUGAAAACAUGAUUCCUUUCUGAUUUUUAAAAAAUGCAUAGGAUUGAGGAGGAGAGGAAAAAGGAAGAAGUAAUCCUAUUUUUACAUCUUAUCCAAAUAUGAAGAUAACAUUGGAAAACUUGGCCAGUCGCUGCUCUCCUAUACUCCGCUUCAUCUCCCUGCAGAGGAGAGAGGAGCCAGAAGCAAGCACCAGCUUUCCCAUCACAUUCUUCCCUGGUCGACUCUCUGAUUAGCAUGGAUUAAGAAAGCCUUCACUGCCUGCACGCAUCGCAUUCCCUCAGACUAUAAACGUUUCUUCUAAAGACUGAAAGUCCCACCCGAAGUCCUUCUGUGGUGUUAG
rnacentral:lncRNA from 1 species